rnacentral:rRNA from 1 species
UACGUAGGGUGCAAGCGUUGUCCGGAAUUAUUGGGCGUAAAGAGCUCGUAGGCGGUGUGUCGCGUCGGCCGUGAAAACCUGCAGCUUAACUGUGGGCGUGCGGUCGAUACGGGCAUUACUGGAGUUCGGCAGGGGAGACUGGAAUUCCUGGUGUAGCGGUGAAAUGCGCAGAUAUCAGGAGGAACACCGGUGGCGAAGGCGGGUCUCUGGGCAGUAACUGACGCUGAGGAGCGAAAGCGUGGGGAGCGAACAGG